rnacentral:rRNA from 1 species
UCAGAUUGAACGCUAGCGGGAUGCUUUACACAUGCAAGUCGAACGGCAGCGCGGACUUCGGUCUGGCGGCGAGUGGCGAACGGGUGAGUAAUGUAUCGGAACGUACCCAGUAGCGGGGGAUAACUACUCGAAAGAGUGGCUAAUACCGCAUACGCCCUACGGGGGAAAGGGGGGGAUCGCAAGACCUCUCACUAUUGGAGCGGCCGAUAUCGGAUUAGCUAGUUGGUGGGGUAAAGGCCUACCAAGGCAACGAUCCGUAGCUGGUUUGAGAGGACGACCAGCCACACUGGGACUGAGACACGGCCCAGACUCCUACGGGAGGCAGCAGUGGGGAAUUUUGGACAAUGGGGGCAACCCUGAUCCAGCCAUCCCGCGUGUGCGACGAAGGCCUUCGGGUUGUAAAGCACUUUUGGCAGGAAAGAAAUUGCCCGGGUUAACACCCUGGGUAGAUGACGGUACCUGCAGAAUAAGCACCGGCUAACUACGUGCCAGCAGCCGCGGUAAUACGUAGGGUGCAAGCGUUAAUCGGAAUUACUGGGCGUAAAGCGUGCGCAGGCGGUUCGGAAAGAAAGAUGUGAAAUCCCAGGGCUUAACCUUGGAACUGCAUUUUUAACUACCGGGCUAGAGUGCGUCAGAGGGGGGUGGAAUUCCGCGUGUAGCAGUGAAAUGCGUAGAUAUGCGGAGGAACACCGAUGGCGAAGGCA